UUCAGAAAACACAUGAGCAAAAAGUCUGAUAUCUUAAAUCCAGAAGGAUUCACAACACUACAUGCAUAGAACCUGAUUUGUGCAUAUAUUUGUAUUCUAAAAAAUCCUAAGCAAGAUACUUGUCAUAGUUCCCUAGAGAGUUUAAGAAACCAGUGAUAAAGGCUUACUCUGUCAAAAGAUAUGUAAACCUGUAGCACAAGCACCAUGUAAAUGUCUUGCUCCCCUACUCAGCUAAAGACCUAUUUCCAGAUUAAACAGCCUUCAAACACAAGGUUUAUGGUCUGUAAACUGUAUUUUUAUACUCAGAGUCAUUUAAUACCACAGCUACAAUGCUGCUCACAAAAAUUACCACAUAUUUUUGGAUAGUUGUAGGGGAACUGUGAGGUCACAGCUUGAACUGGCAACUGAGCACCUGGUGAAGGGGUGUGACUGGCUCAGGGAGCACAGGCAAAUUGUUUGCAUCUGUGCUCUCCAGGAGACCAGAAAGACUGGAGCCACCCUGGGCUCAUAUAAGGGCCAACCACUGAAGGGCAAGCUUCUCUUGGACCUAGGAUGCUUCCUGAGAAGGGGUGCUAUAUAGCCAGAGAGCCCCUUCAUCAGCUGGGACUAGGAGAAGUUGUGAAUAUCAAGAAAAGAAUCAAGCUUCCAGUUCCAGAGAAGUGUCAAUUUUGAUGGUCAAGAGGCAGCAAAAUAAAUCUGAAAUUGCCAUGCUAGUUCCUGGCAGAUAAUUUUUGAUUGGAUCAUGUUCAAGUAGAGCUCUGAAACUUAAGAAAGAAACAGUGGGAUUCCUCAAAGCACUGUGAAUCCUAAUAAAUCAAGUAGGUUGCAACUGAGGUCUGCUUAUCAGAGGAAAGGAAGUUAUGACUACCAACUGUCUGCUACAAAGCACAAGGACAUCCCACUCAUCACAAUAUGAUCAGCCUCUGCUCCUAGGACUCUGACGAAGAGGCUUUCCAUAGUGUACAACUGGAAGGAUUUUUUUUAAUAGAAGUGAUUCAGGCUUGUCAUGUAUACAUAGAUGUUUAGUAAUAGUGAUUAUUUUAAUGUUACACUUCAUCUGGUCACUAGGGAACCGUCAACUACUUCAUACUGCAGCUCCUGAAAGAACAAUUUCUGUGUUUUUUUCACUGGGACUUAUUAAUAACAAUGUUCAGUUUCCUGGGGACCAUCUUCUUGAUACCAGAAAACAUCUGCCAUUUUCUCUAGCAUCUCAUAGAGCAGAAGGGCUACGUUCCUUUAGGAAAAAAAAAAGUGAUGGAAACAAUACUGAUGGUGAUUCUGUGGGUCUUUAAAACUAAGAUUGGAAAAGACCUCUAAGAUCAUCUGGUCCAAUCAUCAAACAGUUUCUAUUAGCCACAGGUCAGACUGUAAGACCUCUGAUUUGGGGUAAUUCAUACUCCAGGCAUACCGAAGUUUUUAUAGAAGAAACCCAAUGGUAGAAAUCAGUUGGAACAUUGAACGUUUAAGGAUGGAACAGAUGACAAGAAGGCGAAGCUGCACUAAUGAGAAAAAUGCCUUUUAUUACUAGGACUUCUAAAAUCUAGGCAAUUCCUUUGUUUGUACUUUGAUCGAACAUGGGAGGAAAAUGGACACUUAUAAAUGUUAAGCCCUUACCACAAAAGUAAAAACAGUAGAAAGUAAGAGGUAAAGAGGCUCCCUUCAAACAGAUCUCAGAAAGCAGGACUGCAGACCCCCAGAAGUAUUACUUAGGAAAGCAGGGCAAGUUCCUCUUGGCCUCAAGGCAAGAUGAAAAGCAGUAGUUCUCUUCCUCUUUUUGUCUCUAAUGGAAAGAUUUCUUCAGGGCCCAGCUUGCACAUACAGUCUUUCCAAAGUGUAUUUUGAAAAGUGUCAUAAUAACAGGAUUUGCCAGUGUGGUGUCAAUGACACAUACAACCUGUCUCUAACUCCAGUAGGAGCCUUGGAUACAGGAUACUACAGAGUGCUGAUUUUUUUUUUUUUUAAGCACUGCUAAGCUUAAUGCCAGUGCCAUCUAACUGCAGGCUGUUUUGUACAACUACUCCAGCAGAAAGUAGCUGAUGUAAAGAUGGAUCCAAAUCCUAAAUGAUCAAGGAACUUGAAGCAUAUUAAAUAAGAAACAGAGAAAUGUUCUCUUACAUCAAAACAAAAGCAUCAGCAGCAGAAACCCAAGUGAAACGCAUCUCUUGUGACUUGCUCUAAGUAACCAUGGAGGGUGAUGAAGUUCAACUACAAGGCUAUUUGUUCACUACCCUAGCCCUUCUGAUGCUAAGCUACCAUAAGCAGAAUCCAUUCUAAGGGGUUACAUUAUUGUCAUAUGUUUUGACAGCACUUGCUGUCAAUGUGUAGUGUCCUGAAGUCUUAGGGAAGGGAAGAUUGCUCAGAACCAGGAUUUUGACAUAACCAAGAGCACAAAGCAAAUAUAGUUGAAGUGGUGUGCCACAUUCAGUAGUUAAAUUCUUACAUAAAUGUCAUGAACAGUCUGUCUAGUUUAUGAACAGAUGGUAUUUAA